rnacentral:lncRNA from 1 species
GAAAUUUGAUCCAGAAUCCUAGAGAUUUACCCUUAAGCAAACAUCAAAGAUGUUUUAUAAAUAUAUAUUUUGUGAAAUUAUUUAUUUAAAACUCUGAAGAAACUAAACUUUGCAUACAAUAAAAUUGGUUCAAUGAAUCCUAGUACUUCUGAUACUUUUAACCUUUAAAUGUUAAUGACGUUAACAAAAUUAUUUAGCAAAAAUAUCAGUUAACAAAGCAGCCAACAUUGUUUGCUUUCAAAUUUAUGUGUGUAAAUGCUACUUACUUUUUUUUUUUUUUUUUUGAGACAGAGUCUUGCUCUGUUGCCCAGGCUGGAAUGCAAUGACAUGAUCAUGGCUUACUGCAGCUUCACCCUACUGGACUCAAUCUUUCCACCUUGGCCUCCGGAGUAGUUGAGACUACAGAGUCUGAGAGAAGACUAGUCAUAUUGAAGCAAGAAGUUUUUUGAAAAGAAUAUGUGCAAUGUCCUUGACUAGAUCAUGUAAGAACAUUGUAUUGCAAUGUGGUUGGGACUGAUACUGAUUGAAAUGUAUAGUGACAAGGAAGUGACACAAUCCAACUUGUGUUUUAGGAAACUUAAUCUGCUUAUGGUAUGCUGAAUUAAAGUGGGGCAUCUUUUUCUUUAAAAAAAAUAAGAAGUUGUGUCAGUUUAUAUCCUCUGAGGAGUAGAUGCCAAGACUAAAUAUGUAAGAUAUUUAUUGGAGAAAUGGUUGUGAAACAUAAAAAAGAUGAUAAGCAUAGGCAAGAAGACCUCCAUAUCAUGGUGAAG